rnacentral:rRNA from 1 species
GAUGAACGCUGGCGGCGUGCUUAACACAUGCAAGUCGAACGAAGCACUUAAGACAGAUUCCUUCGGGAUGAAGAUUUUUGUGACUGAGUGGCGGACGGGUGAGUAACGCGUGGGUAACCUGCCUUAUACAGGGGGAUAGCAGUUGGAAACGACUGGUAAUACCGCAUAAGCGCACAGUACCGCAUGGUACAGUGUGAAAAACUCCGGUGGUAUGAGAUGGACCCGCGUCUGAUUAGCUGGUUGGUGAGGUAACGGCCCACCAAGGCGACGAUCAGUAGCCGACCUGAGAGGGUGACCGGCCACAUUGGGACUGAGACACGGCCCAGACUCCUACGGGAGGCAGCAGUGGGGAAUAUUGGCACAAUGGAGGAAACUCUGAUGCAGCGACGCCGCGUGAGUGAAGAAGUAGUUCGCUAUGUAAAGCUCUAUCAGCAGGAAG